rnacentral:ncRNA from 1 species
UGCGAUGAGUCGAGAGGUCUGGUAGCAACCCAAAUAGCUACCAUAAGACAUUUCGAAUGUGGGGCACAAAACUCACCGGAUUGUGAGGUGCCCGGAAAUAGUCGGAGUGGACACUGG